UCUCUUAUAUAACAUACACUACAACAAAAUAUUGACUUUUUCAACACUCGUAUUUACAUACAAUAUAAUCUGUUGAAAAUGGAGAUGGAUCUUUUAAACGGUUUUUUUAACACACAUAAUAAAAUUGAUAAAUUCUUUAUACUAAGUGUUAAAAAAGAAAAAAAAUAUAUAUAAAAGUCAUUAUAAUUUGUUGACAAACGUCAUUCCUCACAAGCUUUUAUUUAGAAGUUAUCUUAAUAAAAGUUUCUACUAAGCCAUUAUAAUGUUCAGAUUAGGCAAAGUUAAGCAUUCUUCAUAACCCAUUCUCUAGUGAUAGCAAGUUGGAGGAAUUUCAAACGUCAACCAGCACAAAUUCUCUAGUGAUAGCAAAACACCGAUUCUUCGAUCUUCGAUCUUCGAUCUUCUACAGUGAUAGCAAGUUUUCUCUUCAAUCUUGAUUUCUUCUCAGUCAAGUGCAAAUCAAAGAUUUUUUCAGCGAUUUCAUCACGUAAUUGUAGAGAAUUCGAAAAUAUCAGCAAUUACUUCUUUAUCUUCUCCGUAACUUUGUUCAGCGAUUGCUUCAAAUUUAGGUAAGCGUGAGUUCAAUUUGCUGCUAAAGUACUGUACGCGUGAAAUUGAUAGUCAAUAACAUUUCUUCAGCGAUUUCAAUUUUUGUUGGUAAGCGUCAGUUGGAAUCACCCGAUUAUCUCUACAAUUUAUUCAAUUUCUUGAAUUUUAGGUAAACAUGUUUUCAAUUUAUUCAACAAUUUAAAUUAUGUUGAGUGUUUGUAAGUCUGCGAUUAUAGACUACGAUGAAAUUCGGGUGAAUUUAUGCAAAAAUUGUUAAUAAUAUGCAAAAACUGAUGCAUCACCUCUUUACUGUGGUCUGAAGAUCUAUAGAUUAGAAAAACAAAAUGUUAAACUUGUUUUUCUUUUGAAAUUGGUGAAUUUAUUGCCAUUUAGCUUGGUUGCUGACUAGUUUUGAUAAUAUAAAUUGAUUACCUUUUUGUAUUUUGUUUUGAUUAGUAUUAUUGUCAUUAAUACAAGACUUUUUUUUUCUUAAUCCCCUUCUACAUGUAUGUAAUGAUUGUUAAUAGCUAACAAAAUUGAAUGUUUAUCAUUGUAAUGUGAUUGUUGAAUUCCAUGUCCAUGCCAUAAUAUCCUGUCACACCAUGCUGGUGUACGCCUUUUCUUCUUGUUUUUAGCUGUAUCUCCUGCAUACAUGUCUGAAUUUUGAGUGUACUUAUAAGUCGGUGCAAACAUCACUUUCCCUUCUUUCCAUCCUGUAAACACCCUUCCUGAUUCUCGCUCUAGCUUCAGCUGCAAAUCAAAAGGUUUUCAACUUGUUUAUAAUCGAUGGAUCGAUAAUUUUUGGAUUAAAGAGCAUGUUAUGUAGCUUCUACUGUACAAGUUGGGGUCAAUUGUUAGAAGUGGUUUUCUUGCCCUCCUCUGUGAAGAUCAUGGAGGGAGUUAAGCCAUUUUUAUGUGGCCCAUUGUUAGCCAUUUUUAUCAAUACAAAAACAAUCCAGGCCAUUUUUAUGUUUGUAUCAUAAAGUAUGAGAUAGUCUUACUUUUGGGACAUCUUAUAUGGGUUAGUAUUGGUGUUGUGUUACCUUCUACCUACUGUUUUUUUGCUUUGCUGUUGGAGACCAAAUUUAUGUUUGUAUCAUAAAGAACCUAAAUGUAUGCAGGUACUACAAAAUCAUAGAAGGAGAUCAAACUCUUUUCAUUGUGAAUCGAGAAUGAGAUGGAGUUCGAUUUGAGUACUUGAUAUACGACAGCAUCUUUGAACGUUUAUAGGAAGCAUGUGUAAUAAUUUAAGCUACAUUUGAGAUGAUUCAAGCCUUUAUAGUUUUGAUAUUUUGUAAAAUGGAUAUAUGGAUAUCAUUUGAUAAUGUAAUAAACUCCUUAAUUUUGCUUAAGACAAUUUUAAAAGUAGGACAUUUUCAUUUGU